CUUUCUCCUCGCUCCUCCGACGCACAUCAGACCACUGGAAGGGGGUGGGAAACCUGGAUCCUGGGUUGUUUUAGCUGGGAGCUGAGUCUAAGGGACUUUUUUUUUUUUUUUAAUGGCAGAGCGUGGCUUGUUUUGUUAAAACUGCCGCCAGUUGUUGCAACAGCUCCGAGUUAGAAUAAUAGAUGCAGUGUUCAGUUUUUAAUAUAUGUGUUCCCUGUUUUCUCUGCUCUUUUUAUGGCGGGGGGUGGGGGACAAAAAAGUGUAAAACAAGAUCCGUGCCGCAAAGGCAAUUUAAACCUAACAUCCCAACCUUCAUGCAGCCAUUCUACAAGGAGUUGUUGAGCACCUGCUGUCUAUCUACAGAAAUCUUGAAAUGUGGAACAGAGAUGGAAAUAUAGCAUGCAAGUCAGAAUGAAUUGCCAAACAAUGACAGAAGGCUGCUCUGAAAUGAUCAAAAUUUUCUCCUGGGACCUCACACCAAAGGAAUAUAAUAGGCAUUCAUUUCUAAGACAAUGCGGUUUACUACAAUCACAGCCUUGAUUGGGGGAGACUUUGGGCACUGUGAGUGGAGGACAUGCCUAUUUCCACAUAAACAAGGGCAGCAUCAGCAGGUGGUGAAAUGAAAGCAUGGAUCAAGGAUUCAGAGGAAGCAGAAGACUACUAUAACUAGAGAUUUUGAGAAACUUAAAUCUUCACGCCACUCCCCACUCUCUUGACAAGAAACUAGGUUCCCAUCCCUAUAUAAGUCAGGAUGUUUGAACCAUAGCAAGCUAGAGGAUUUGGAAUCGUCCAGGCAAGUGACAUCUUUCACACUAGGAUAAGCAAAUAAUAAUAUAAUAAUUCAAAUUUUUAUUUUCUAAGAACGAAGAGAAUAGAAUUGAAAUUGGGUGCUCACUUCGGUGGCACAUAUACUAAAAUUGGAACAAUACAGAGAUGAUUAGCAUGGCCCCUGCACAAGGAUGGCACGCAAAUUUGUAAGCAUUCCAUAUUUUUCAAGUCUGCAAAAUAACCAGCUACCAUCAUGAUGACAAGAUCAAAUCCACACAUAAAAACACCAACCAUAAAUGUAAAUGGGCUAAAUGCCCCAAUUAAAAGACACAGAAUGGCAAGCUGGAUAAAGAACCAAGACCCAUCGGUAUGUUGUCUUCAAGAGAUCCAUCUCAGAUGCAAAGAUACACAUAGGCUCAAAAUAAAAGGAUGGAGGAAAAUUUACCAAGCAAAUGGAAAACAGAAAAAAGCAGGGGUUGCAAUCCUAGUUUCUGACAAAAUAGACUUUAAACCAACAAAGAUUAAAAAAAAAGACAAAGACAUUACAUAAUGGUAAAGUGUUCAAUUCAGCAAGAAGAGCUAACUAUCCUGAGUAUAUAUGUACCCAAUACAGGAGCACCCAGAAUCACAAAGCAAGUUCUUAGAGACCUUCAAAGAGACUUAGACUCCCACACAAUAAUAGUGGGAGAUUUUAACACCCCACUGACAAUAGUAGACAGAUGAUUCAGAUAGAAAAUUAACAAAGAUAUUCAGGACCUGAAUUCAGUUCUGGGUCAAGUGGACCUGACAGAUAUCUGCAGAACUCUCCACCUAAAAACAACAGAAUAUGUAUUCUUCUCAUUGCCACAUGGCACUUACUCUAAAGUUGACCACAUCAUCAGAAGUAAAACACUCCUCAGCAAAUGCAAAAGAACUGAAAUCAUAAACAGUCUCUCAAACCACCAUGCAAUCAAAUUGGAACUCAAGAUUAAGAAAUUCACUCAAAACCACACAACUACAUGGAAAUUGAACAACCUGCUCCUGAAUGAUUCUUGGGUAAAUAAUGAAAUUAAGGCAGAAAACAAGAAGUUCUUUGAAACUAAUGAGAAUGAAGAAACAAUGAACCAGAAUCUCUGGGAUACAGUGAAAGCAAUGUUAAGAGGAAAAUUUACAGCACUAAAUGCCCACAUCAAAAAGCUAGAAAGAUGUCAAGUUAACAAGCUAACAUUACAACUGAAGGAACUAGAGAACCAAGAGCAAACAAAUCCCAAAGCUAGCAGAAGACAAGAAAUAAGCAAGAUCAGAACUGAAAUGAAGGAGUUAGAGACACAAAAAACACAUUAAAAAAAAUAAAAUCCAGGAGGUGUUUUUGUGAAAAAAUUAACAAAAUAGAUAGACUGCUAGCAAGACUAAGGAAGAAAAGAGAGAAGAUUGAAACACAAUCGGAAGUGAUGAGGGCUAUCACCAAUGGCCCCACAGAAAUACAAACAACCAUCAGAGAAUACUAUCAACACCUCUAUACACAUAAACUAGAAAAUCUAGAAGAAACUGAUGAACUUCUGAACACAUACCCCCAAUCCCAUAACUGAACCAGGAAGAAUUCAAAUCCCUGAAUAGACCAAUAAUGAGUCCUGAAAUUGAGGCAGUAAUAAAUAGCUUACUAACCAAAAAAAGUCCAGAACCAGAUGGAUUCACUUCAUAGGCACGAAGAAUUGGUACCAUUUGUACUGAAACUAUUCCAAAGAAUUGAAAAGGAGGGACUCUUCCCUAACUCAUUCUAUGACAUCAGCAUUAACCUGAUGCCAAAACCUGGCAGUGAUAGAACAAAAAAAGAAAUCUUCAGGCCAAUAUCCUUGAUAAGAAUCAAUGCAAAAACCCUCAAUAAAAUACUAGCAAACUGAAUCCAGCAGCACAUCAAAAAGCUUAUCCACUAUGAUCAAAUAUGGAACCCAAAAAGAGGCCAAAUAGCCAAGACAAUCCUAAGCAAAAACAAAGCUGGAGGCAUCAUGCUACCUGGCUGAAAAAUAUACUACAAGACUACAGUGACAAAACAGCAUGGUACUGGUACAAGAACAGACACAUAGACCAAUGGAAGAGAAUAGAGAACCCAGAAAUAAGACUGCACGCCUCCAACCAGCUGAUCUUCAACAAACUUGACAAAAACAAGCAAUAGAGAAAGGAUUUUCUAUUUAACAAAUGGUGCUAGGAGAACUAACUGGCUAACCAUAUGGAGAAAAUUGAAACUGAACCCUUUUCUUACACCAUAUACAAAAAUCAACUCAAGAUGGAUUAAAGACAAUUGUAAAACCCAAAAUUAUAAAAACCCUAGAAGAAAAUCUAGGCAAUACCAUUUAGGACAUAAGCACGGGCAAAGAUUUCAUAAAGAAAAUGCCAAAAGCAAUUACAACAAAAGCAAAGAUUGACAAAUGGGAUCUAAUUAAACGAAAGAGCUUCUGCACAGCAAAAGAAACUAUCAUCAGAGUGAACAGACAACCUAUAGAAUGGGAGAAAAUUUUUGCAAACUACCCAUCUGACAGAUGUCUAAUAUCCAGCAUCGACAAGGUACUUAAAUAAAUUUACAAGAAAAAAACAAGCUCAUUAAAAAGUGGGCAAAGGACAUGAACAGACCCUUCUCAAAAGAAGACAUGCGACUGGGUGCAGUGGCUCACGCCUGCAAUCCCAGCACUUUGGGAGGCCAAGGCGGGCAGAUCACGAGGUCAGGAGAUCGAGACCAUCCUGGCUAACAUGGUGAAACCCCGUCUCUACUAAAAAAUACAAAAAAUUAGCUGGGUGUGGUGGCGGGCACCUGUAGUCCCAGCUACUCGGGAGGCUGAGGCAGGAGAAUGGUGUGAACCUGGGAGGUGGAGCUUGCAGCAGUGAGCAGCUGAGAUCGCGCCACUGCACUCCAGCCUGGGCAACAGAGUGAGACUCCGUCUCAAAAAAAAAAAAAAAAAGAAAGCUCAACAUUACUAAUCAUUAGAGAAAUACAAAUCAAAACCAUAAUGAGAUACCAUCUUAUGCCUGUCAGAACGGUUAUCAUUAAAAAGUCAAGAAACAACAGAUGCUGGCAAGGUUGUGGAGAAAAAGGAACACUUUUACACUGUUGGUGGGAGUGUAAAUGAGUUCAACCAUUGUGGAAGACAGUGUGGUGAUUCCUCAAAGACCUAGAGGCAGAAAUAUCACUUCACUCAGCAAUCUCAUUACUGCGUAUAUAUACCCAGAGGAAUAGAUCAUUCUGUUAUAAAGAUACAUGUGUGCAUAUGUUCAUUGCAGCUUUAUUCAUAAUAGCAAAGACUUGUAAUCAACCUAAAUGUCCAUCAAUGAUAGACUAGAUAAAGAAAAUGUGGUUACAUAUGUACCAUGGAAUACUGUGCAGCCAUAAAAAGGAAUGAGAUCAUGUUCUUUGCAGGGACGUGGAUGGAGCUGGAAGCCAUUAUCCUCAGCAAACUAAUGCAGGAACAGAAAACCAAAUACCACAUGUUCUCACUUAUAAGUGGGAACUGAAUGUUGAGAACACAUGAACACAUAGUGGGGAACAACACACACUGGGGCCUGUCGGAGGGUGUGGGUGGGAGGAGGGAGAGGGUCAGGAAGAAUAGCUAAUGGAUGCUGCACUUAAUACCUAGGUGAUGGGACUAUCUGUACAGCAAACCACCAUGGCACACAUUUACCUAUGUAACAAACCUGCAUAUCCUGCACAGGUACCCCUGAACUUAAAAUAAAAGUUGGAAAAAAAGAUAUUUAAAAGGAAUGU
rnacentral:lncRNA from 1 species